AACGUAGGGGGCAAGCGUUGUCCGGAAUUACUGGGCGUAAAGGGCGCGUAGGCGGUUAUUUAAGUCAGAGGUGAAAACUCUGGGCUCAACUCAGAGCCUGCCUCUGAAACUGGAUGACUUGAGGGCAGGAGAGGGGAGUGGAAUUCCCAGUGUAGCGGUGAAAUGCGUAGAUAUUGGGAGGAACACCAGUGGCGAAGGCGGCUCUCUGGCCUGUUACUGACGCUGAGGCGCGAAAGCGUGGGGAUCAAACAGGAUUAGAUACC
rnacentral:rRNA from 1 species